rnacentral:lncRNA from 1 species
AGCGGUUCAAAAAAUAAAUUCUAGAGGACUGAUACUGCGCACUUGAGCACUACCAAAAGGUGAUUGGAAAAACGAAAGGAACAAUCACUAAGAAAAAGGGAACAAAGAGCACUAAAAAAAGGGUGACUGGACAGGGCCGGGUCAGCUGUCUUCGAAAGUCUCGUGACGCCGGCGGCAGGUCCUCUCGCUUUUCAGCGGUCGGGCUGUAGGAAAUCUCAUCUUCAACAGUCACCGGCAAAAUAGACGUGUCGUCCGUCCAGAUAGCAGGUAUUCGGAUGAUUUGGCAAAUGUUCACCACUAUUUUCGAUGGAUACAUGCUAAAUGUCCACACAUAUAUAUUUCUCAAUUAAUACUAUUAUUACACAACUAUGUAUUCAACAAUAUCAAUUCAAAAAUAAAUAGUAGAGUGCAAAUUAAUUGAAAUGACAUCGUCCAAAUAUGUCAGAAUGAAACUUUGACGAGAAAUGGAAAGAGUUAGUUUUCCUUUCAUUAUUUAAAAUGAAAUGUACCGAUCAUGCCAAAGUUCAUUAUUUAAAAGUACGAUUAUAACCAAAUAAAAACAACCUUGUAAUGUAGUAGAAAACAGAGGAAUUGAUGAGCCGUCCUUCAACUGCCGGUGCAUGACAAGUAUGAGCCAGUUUUAAAACCCACUGCCUGAACAAGACUCAUCUGAAGUUAAAAAAAAACUGAUUUAAAUGAUUUUACCUGAUUUCAAAGAAUAAAACUAAAAAAAUAUUGUUCAGCCCAAAUAGGGACAUGAUUUUGUACGUCCAAAGUAGUACAUGUCAGAUAUUUGAGCGGAGCAUCAUAAGAAAGAAAAUAAUGAGAAGAAAAUCCACGCUGCACGUCAUAUAUACCUGCACUGAUUCUUUUUUGAGGGAAUACAUGCACUGAUUCUUGAUUGAUUUGUUCUGUGUAGACAUACAUGAGCUAACAUCAAGUCACGGCGACUCAACCAGAUCAUGAUUCAAUGUUCUGUGUAGACAUACAUGCACUGAUUCAAUGUUGAUGCUACCUUUCAUGAGGAUACUGGUACUGGGGGCGACAGGUGCUGUUCUUCAUCUCAUGACGUCUUCUCGGCGGGCAGCUGUUUUGGUAUCUCUAACAUUGCCGAUGCUUCGUCUGCCGAAGCUCGUGCUCUAUGGGAUGGUCUUCUCCUGGCCAGCGAGGUGGGGUGCGACAAAUUGGUUGUUGAUUGCAUGGAAGUGGUGGAGACAAUGCAAUCUGAGGGUAAUUCUAUUUGCCAGGCUGCGGCGAUGAAGAAUGUGCUUUUCUGGCUCGGAAUUUUACCAAUGUCAUUUUAUGUUUUUCUCCUAGAGCGAGUAAUUCAUUGUUUGGCAUGAGGAUCUGUCCCAUUUUUUUAGCAACCUUUUUGAUUAAUGAUGUACUCCCUCGGUCCCAUAAUUCUUGUCAAAAUAUUAGAUGCUUUUUAGAAAUAGAUGCAUUCAUUUUUGGGCAAAUUUGGGACAAAAAUUAUGGACGGAGGGAGUAUCUUUUUAAUCCAAUCAAUAAAUUUGUCAUUGUUGGAAAUAUGAGCAAUUUACCAUGAUAUUUAAUCCAUAAAAAUAGUAGAUAAAUCAUGACGGCAAGAACACAUAUUAAACUAGUCAUGCAAACUAGUUGAGAAUAUGAACAAAAUAUCGAAGAUUGAAGGAGCAAAUCUAAACCAUUUGCUUGAACAAGAAACUGUAGCAAAAUCUCGAAUAGAAUAAACAGAAACACGUACGAUGCCGAUCCGUUUGCGAUAACAAGUUGCCAACAUCAGCCAUGUCGUCGAGUAGGUUGGUGACGUUAGGGAAGUAGUCGUCGUCGGGAAAGUGAUCGUCGGAGUCCGUGGUGAAGAAGAAGCAGUAGUCGCGCUAGAGCGCUCCCAAAAAACCUUAUCAUCCAUCUUCCGUACAGAACUUGAAGAGACGGGGUUUCGGGGGUUUACUGUUCCGUGGCAGUCGCAUAAAGUGUGGCGUAUCUUGUGUGUCUCUCGACGGAGGAGCGAC